GGUGGCCUAGUGGUUACAGCGUCCGCUUCGGAUGCGGGAGGUCACCGGUUUGAACCCUGGUAUACUUAUACCA